CGCCGGCUUGUUUAACCUGUUCAACGUACACGCAUGCGCACUGGCUCGCUCAUUCGCCGCCGGUUGUGUAAAGUUGCGUGUUGUGUUAUGUCGUGUCCUGCCUUUUUACCAUUUAUGAAGAUCCGGAAUGCGCCUCGUGCGAAAAAUUGGAAUGUCAGUUCGACUUCGAAUGCAGUCUUCAUUGAGGACGGUGGCGACAAACUUCUCCGGAUCCAGGGAACGGACUGCAAUCUGGAUCGCCGAGGAGGUCCGGGGGUCUGCGUGCAAUUCGAUAUAUUCCGCAUAGGGGAUCAAUUACGUGUUCAAUCAUCUGGAUUCUGGUAAUGGUACAAGGGAUUUUGAUGAAAUUCAAAUAUAUUCCGCAUAGGGAACCAGUUAUGUGUUCAACCAUCUGGAUUCUGGUAAUGCUACAAGGGAUUUUGAUGAAAUUCAAACAUGAUAUAGUUCGUGCCAAAUUAAGGGUAGUUUAAGUCAUCAUUUCGUAGUCACAUAGCAGUCCAACCUUCCAGACUUUUUUUACAGAUAGUCUAAUAAUAAAUUUAGGUCUACGUAAAUUGA